rnacentral:rRNA from 1 species
GACGAACGCUGGCGGCGUGCUUAACACAUGCAAGUCGAACGGUGAAGCCUUCGGGUGGAUCAGUGGCGAACGGGUGAGUAACACGUGAGCAAUCUGCCCUUGACUCUGGGAUAACUUCGGGAAACCGGAGCUAAUACCGGAUAUGACAUCUGGCCGCAUGGUCUGGGUGUGGAAAGAUUUAUCGGUCAAGGAUGAGCUCGCGGCCUAUCAGCUUGUUGGGGGGUAAUGGCCCACCAAGGCGACGACGGGUAGCCGGCCUGAGAGGGCGACCGGCCACACUGGGACUGAGACACGGCCCAGACUCCUACGGGAGGCAGCAGUGGGGAAUAUUGCGCAAUGGGCGGAAGCCUGACGCAGCGACGCCGCGUGAGGGAUGAAGGCCUCGGUC